GGAAAAUCUUUAAGUAUUUACGUCAAAAACAUUUUAAUCUCUUUAUGAUCAAUAUUUUGUGGCAUAUAAAAAGUACUACAAAAAUGCAAACAAAUUUCCAACACUAAUACUUAAUCAAAAAUGCUUUAAUCCAAAAUGGGAGUCAACAACGGAUAUAAGAUAAUAGAUUUGCCAGUCACUUUAUGAGCACUCAUGGAAGAUUAUUAAUAAUCCAAUAACAAACCAACUUUUUAUCUUACACAAUAAUAACAAAACACAAAUUGGGUAUUCAUCUUCUAAAACAUUCAGCAACAAAUGUAGUCAUAAUUGCACAACAAAGAGGGCAGAGACCCUGUUCACGUUUCUUGCACAUAAAGGGCUAACGAAACCAUCAUCCGUACCAUUUUUCAAUUUACAGUGGGAAUGUCCCUUUUUCUUUCUC
rnacentral:misc_RNA from 1 species